rnacentral:rRNA from 1 species
CAAUAGCGUAUAUUAAAGUUGUUGCAGUUAAAAAGCUCGUAGUUGAAUUUUUGCUUGCCGCCGAUGUCGGAACUUCCGUACGUUCGGCGGCGUGCAUCCUUGGGUGGAACCUGUGUGGCAUUAGGUUGUCGUGCAGGGGAUGCUCAUCGUUUACUGUGAAAAAAUUAGAGUGUUCAAAGCAGGCUUACGCCGUUGAAUAUAUUAGCAUGGAAUAAUAAGAUAGGACCUUGGUACUAUUUUGUUGGUUUGCGCACCGAGGUAAUGAUUAACAGGGACAGUUGGGGGUAUUCGUAUUCCAUUGUCAGAGGUGAAAUUCUUGGAUUUCUGGAAGACGAACUACUGCGAAAGCAUUUACCAAGGAUGUUUNCAUUA